CAAGCCACCGUCACCUUGACGGCCACGCCCAAAGCCUGGUGCAGCUCAUCAUGGCCGACCGACGGCGACCACACGAAGCCGGCGUUCCUAGAGCGGUUGCUGCUGGGAAGGCCUCACUGACAGAGAGCAGAAACAAAAUCUUCCUGCAGGUUUACCUCUUGGUGAAGAGCUCUGCUUCGGUUGAGUUGCUAACCUCCAAUAAAGCCAUCAUUGCUAAGAUCACUACAUAUUUUAUUAAUCUUUGUGCCUGGAAGGACAUUAUCUAGUGCAGAAUGAUUGUGUGUUAGUUAGUGAAUAACAUUUGACGCUGUAGCUGUUUGCCCCCUCCCUUUAGAGCUACAGCGUCCUUGUGAUUAGGGAUCCUAGAAACAAUAAAAUAGAGGAGCAGACAAAAUGUGCUUCAGAGCGGUAGGAGAUUGUAACUGAAGCACAUCUCUGUCCGUUCUCCUCGCGAGUGAAAAAGAA